AAGUCCCGUAACGAGCGCAACCCUCGCCCUUAGUUGCCAGCAUUUAGUUGGGCACUCUAAGGGGACUGCCGGUGAUAAGCCGAGAGGAAGGUGGGGAUGACGUCAAGUCCUCAUGGCCCUUAUGGGUAGGGCUUCACACGUAAUACAAUGGCACGUACAGAGGGUUGCCAACCCGCGAGGGGGAGCUAAUCUCAGAAAGCGCGUCGUAGUCCGGAUCGGAGUCUGCAACUCGACUCCGUGAAGUCGGAAUCGCUAGUAAUCGCGGAUCAGCAUGUCGCGGUGAAUACGUUCCCGGGUCUUGUACACACCGCCCGU
rnacentral:rRNA from 1 species